AGCGGGGGCUGAAGCAAUGCCACUUGAACGUUAAGUGCAAUAGAACAGAGUUGUCGUGCCAACCGGCGCCUGUGCACCGUGACCUCAACACCUGGUAUGUUCUGAGUGUGCUCCAACUCCGGCUCCUCGGAUCAACUAAUUCACCAUGGGAAACUACAUGUGUGGAACACUGAGGAAGAAGAAAAAUGAAGAUGAAGUUAACGGUGAUAGUCAUAGCAGCCCAGACAACAAGGAAGAGGAUGUGACAUACGCCACCAUCGACCAUAACAACACCAAGACAACAGGAUUCAUCGUAGAUUCCGGAGAUAACGAUUGUGACUACGCCCUCGUUAACCUUCCAACGGGCCCAGCCCACCAGUCGUCAAUCAAGGAAGACUGCUCAGACGACUAUGUCCUUAUGGGCUAA
rnacentral:lncRNA from 1 species